GACGAACGCUGGCGGCGUGCUUAACACAUGCCAGUCGAACGGCAAGGCCCUGCUUUUGUGGGGUGCUCGAGUGGCGAACGCGUGAGUAACACGUGAGUAACCUGCCCUUGACUUUGGGAUAACUUCAGGAAACUGGGGUUAAUCUCGGAUAGGAGCCCCUCCUCCAUGGUGGGGGUUGGAAAGUCUCGGCAGUCGCGGUUGGAUUGGCGGCUUAUCAGUUAGUUGGUGGGCGAGUGGCUUACCGAGGGUUUGACGGGUAGCCGGCCUGAGAGGGUGAACGGCCACAAUGGGACUGAGGGACGGAGCAGUGGCGUACGGGGGGCAGCAGUGGCGAAUAUUGCACAGUGAGCGGAAGUGUGAGACGGCAACGCCGGGGGCGUAAAGACGGUCUUCGGGUAGUGAACCGCUGUCGCCUGUGACGAAGCGGGAGUGACGGUAAUGAGUAAAGAAGCACCGGCUAACUACGUG
rnacentral:rRNA from 1 species